AUGACUUCCGGUUUCUCGCCCGACUCCGCCCAGUCUCCUCCCGGUUUUCCCCUCUCUGAGCUCGCCGAGCAGAUCUGCCGGCUGGAGAGCGGCGAGCAGAAGGAGGAGGAAGCCGCCGACGCCGACGCCGACGCGGUCGGCCUCUACCAUCUGAUGGUCAACGAGAGAACUGAGGCAGUUGGUGGUUCAGACACCAUAAUGGCAUCACCUCCAGCUUCUGCCUCAAGGCCACUGGAUCCUGCAUGGGUUCAUGCAAAAGUAAUUGGCAAUUCAAAGAAUGCCUUAGCAUGUCUUCAUUGUGGGAAGAAGAUUGGUGGCGGUGGCAUCACCCGCUUUAAGUACCAUCUUGCUGGAAUUACCGGCCAAGUUCAAGCCUGCAAGAAGGUGCCCAAUGAUGUCAGGCGUCAGAUGAAGCAACUU
rnacentral:lncRNA from 1 species